rnacentral:tmRNA from 1 species
GGGGGCGUAAAGGUUUCGACAGUUUUGACGAAGUUAAAGAGGCGGACUGAGCCGAGCAGCUCAUUAAACUGCUCAAAAAAAGAAAAGCAAACAACUUUGCACUCGCAGCGUAAUUAACACGUUGCCGUUUUGAUUUUCCCCGCCUGCGGGAGGAUCGGAACGUCACUUAGCGGGCUAGUGUUGAAAUGAGCGCCUUCUGUAUUUCGGCAUGAAAAUUUGUGAGGGCCGACGGCAGUCCAUUUUGUUUGUUUUAACGGCUGCAGGUUGUAUUGAAAACAAACUAUGUCUGUAGAAUCUUUAAUGGACUCAUUAUUGGACGCGGGUUCGAUUCCCGCCGCCUCCACUG